AAAUCAAGGUCAAAAUAAAUGACGAGCUCAAGAUAACAUCAGUCCCAUUUGCCCUAGUCCUGGUGGAUGGAGAUCGGAAGGG